GCAGACUAGAGUGCAGUAGGGGAGACUGGAAUUCCNGGUGUAGCGGUGAAAUGCGCAGAUAUCAGGAGGNACACCGAUGGCGAAGGCAGGUCUCUGGGCUGUAACUGACGCUGAGGAGCGAAAGCAUGGGGAGCGAACAGGAUUAGAUACCCUGGUAGUCCAUGCCGUAAACGUUGGGCACUAGGUGUGGGGGACAUUCCACGUUUUCCGCGCCGUAGCUAACGCAUUAAGUGCCCCGCCUGGGGAGUACGGCCGCAAGGCUAAAACUCAAAGGAAUUGACGGGGGCCCGCACAAGCGGCGGAGCAUGCGGAUUAAUUCGAUGCAACGCGAAGAACCUUACCAAGGCUUGACAUGUUCCUGACCGCCGUAGAGAUACGGUUUCCCCUUUGGGGCAGGUUCACAGGUGGUGCAUGGUUGUCGUCAGCUCGUGUCGUGAGAUGUUGGGUUAAGUCCCGCAACGAGCGCAACCCUCGUUCCAUGUUGCCAGCACGUAGUGGUGGGGACUCAUGGGAGACUGCCGGGGUCAACUCGGAGGAAGGUGGGGACGACGUCAAAUCAUCAUGCCCCUUAUGUCUUGGGCUUCACGCAUGCUACAAUGGCCGGUACAAUGGGUUGCGAUACUGUGAGGUGGAGCUAAUCCCAAAAAGCCGGUCUCAGUUCGGAUUGGGGUCUGCAACUCGACCCCAUGAAGUCGGAGUCGCUAGUAAUCGCAGAUCAGCAACGCUGCGGUGAAUACGUUCCCGGGCCUUGUACACACCGCCCGUCAANNCANGAAAGUUGGUAACACCCGAAGCCNNUA
rnacentral:rRNA from 1 species